AAAAAAGCGUUGAAGAGGAUAAGUAGCUAGCGGGUCGGGCAUCUACAGAGAGCCGGGGAAGCUGAAAACCGGUGAUGUCUCCGUUAGUGAACUCCCCUCGGAGCGCCGUCUUGAACGAUUCGUUCUAGUAGGGACGGACGGGUGCACGUCACUCGUUAUUAAAACGAGCGCUGCGACGAUCGUCGCGUGCUCCUGAGGUGGCUUUGCCACGAAGAAGGGUGGUACCGCGGGAAGGAUGCAAGCCUUUUUCGCCCCUUUG
rfam:Anoxybacillus sp. BCO1 LR68_contig000008, whole genome shotgun sequence.